rnacentral:rRNA from 1 species
UACGAAGGGGGCUAGCGUUGCUCGGAAUGACUGGGCGUAAAGGGCGCGUAGGCGGACGGCUUUGUCGGGCGUGAAAUUCCAGGGCUUAACCUUGGGUGUGCGUUCGAGACGGGUUGUCUUGAGUUUGGAAGAGGGUCGUGGAAUUCCCAGUGUAGAGGUGAAAUUCGUAGAUAUUCGCAAGAACACCAGUGGCGAAGGCGGCUGUCUGGUCCGGUUCUGACGCUGAGGCGCGAAAGCGUGGGGAGCAAACAGG